UAGUUGUGAUAAAUGUGAUUGAUCAUUUAGUUUGAAGUGAACUUUUGUAAGAGAAUGAUCGAGUUUAAAUUGAUAAUAAAAAAUUAUAAAAAAAAUAUAUUGUGAAAUUGAUAAUUUAGUGAAAAUAAUAAAAUAAAGAUUUGUGAAAUUAAAGAAAAAUAAUAAAUAUUUGUGAAAUUAACAAUUUAAUAAGAAAUUGUGAUGUAUAAAAUGUACUUUAAUUUCAAUGCGUAAUAAUUAGUGUAAAACGUUUUUUAUUAACUUGAAGCUAAAUUCAAGAUGGUGUCUUCUUCUAUUUGAAAAUAGUAAAGUUCUAAGACAAUCCAGUCACGUCCCAUCAUCGACAAAAACAAAAAAAUUAGUGCGUUUUUACGCUCAAUAAACAGGGUCAAUAUGUGAAUUCAAUUGACUGAAUGACAGGGCUUUCGUUCAAGGAGAUGUUGAAACUGAGAAGAUGAACAGAUGAACAGAAAAUACAAAUACGAAAAGAAAGAUAAUUUUAUUAUAUUUUCAACUGAUUUUCACUUGUUGCACGCUUCUUUAAUUACACUCAAUUGCGAAUUACCAGAGUACAGUACAUAUCAACGAUUAAAAUCAAUUCAUACAACAAACAACUGCAGCAACAAAAACACAACAACAACUGCA